rnacentral:misc_RNA from 1 species
UAAAGAGAGAAAUGGGAAAAAAUCGGAAGGUGGAGGACGGACGAAUCGCUCUUCCCUUCGUUGUAGUCACCGUUUAGUUCUGUCGUUGCGCACCCCCUCGCUACCUUCUGCUGCGUGUUCUGCGCUCCCCAUCGCAGAGAGUUCGUCGCGUGAAGGGCGCAGUCGACUGGAGGAAGAGAAAUCGCCGGGGGAAGUCGGAAGCCGAGAAAGCGGCCCGGCGGGAACCGGGCCGUAUGAAGAGCAUCCGGCGCCCUCCACUCCUGGGCUGUGAGAGUCGAAUGCGGGCGGCCGAGGGUCCCGCCGGCCGCCCGGACCAUGAACGGUAGCGCGGCCAAGUCGACGACGGGCACCGGAAGUCCCCCGCCCGGAGGCAACGCGGCCGCCAACGUCACCGUGUCCAGUAACUCCACCAAACCGCUGUUGGACGUGUCCAGGACCAUCACCCGCCCGGCCAGCCUGGCCGCCGUCUCCAGAAGGUCGCUGGUGGAAGAACAGGUGGAGAAGGGCAUCUACCAGAUGCUGGCCUCGCUGGCCCUGCUGUGCCUGCUCUCCCUGCUCAUGUCUUUCCUGGCCCUCUUCUUUCUACAGAAAGUGGCCUCUUCCCUCGUCUCUCCCGAAGACUUCAAAAAGAACGGAGAGAAAAAGAUAGUGGUCAAUCCCAAAGAGUAUUUCGCCGUCUACCAGGUGUCGGUGGCGCUCUGCACUCUGACUUUGUGCCUCAAUCUGUGUUGUCUAUUCGUCUGUUGCAUCCAGUUUCUCUUCGCCAUCAAAUUAAUGAAGAUACCUCGAGGCAACGAAAGGUAACCUUUAAUUAUCUCGCCGCGUGACGUUUUUUCUUUCCUCCCCACUGGAAUCGGUCUUCCGCGCCACGAAUUUCGGAAAGACCCGCGAAGCCCGAAUUUGUCGAAAUUGUUGCCUAGUAUCCGUUGUUACGCGAAUUUCCCCAUUUCCUAGUUGGGAUCAGAUCGGAACAUUUUGGGAUUGUUCGUUCCAGCCUCGGGGGUCGGAUGCGAGAAGAAAUUCCGGUUUUACAAUAGAUAAUGGAGAUAAAACGAAGAGUAGAUUAAAGGAUGUGGAACAUGGUUGACGGAAACGAUAUCAAUUUUUUAAUAUUGUCGGAAGAACUGGAAAAUGAUCGAAAAGAACAGAUAACAGAACCCGGGAUCGAUCUUGUCGCGGUGUCUUUCACUUCUUAUCCGAUUAACUAUUAAAUUAAAUCUCCGAAUUAGUGUUUUAUGCUACAUAAGAACAAAUAACAAUUUAAAUAUCCUCCAGAGACUUUUUGCAUUGUUAAUUUCCAAUCUUGUCUAAAAAAUGUAUUAUAGUUUAUUGUUUACUUUUUAUAAUUUUUAUCUUAUUAUUGUUGUUUUACGUCGUUGUGGGGAUGGCAUCUUUGUCCUUUGGAAUCGCCUUUAUAGUAAAGAAUAGAAUCAAAACUAUGCUUUACCUACUUCGAACCUACAUCGAUUAUUUUUUGUAUAUUUUUGGUAAUGACCAUAAAUCAGGAGAAUUUGCAGGGGUUAGUAAACAGGGAUUAAGAAUUGUUCACUAAAUCGAAGAUUGAACUACUAUUAAUAUUUGUAUUCUAACGGAACUGUACAUUUUACAGUAGAGUUUUUCAUCCUAGUAACUUUUCCCACAGUUUGAAGUGAUGAAACAAGUUCCCUUAUCAAAGUAUCACGAGAUCCAAAAUAAAUGCGAGAGAGAUAAUCAUUUUGAACAAAUUAUUGUAUUUCUCUCUAAGGAGGUAUCAUUAUUUCUUGGCAUUCACGAGGAAUUCUUAUCACAACAUUUUCUUUUACAAAACUGAACUGACAAUCUUUAUAAAUAGUUAAUUAAAAUAAACGUGGUUCCAGCAAAUUAUAAUAUUAGUUAUUACCUACGAUUACAAAAGAGAACAAUUCAUUAAAACCAAAACCAAUAAAUAAACAUAUAAGAUGCGGAUUAAAUACGAAAUUAUGUAACCACAUAGCAAUUAAUAUACUAGACUUUAUAGAAAAAAACAAUUCGAAUUUUUAAUAUGUACUUCUGCAUCAUUUCUAACGCGGACUUAACAGUCAAGUCAACAAGCUCGGUUAGAAAAAAUUACACGUAAAUUUGCUACAGAGUCAGUCACACGCGAUUUUACAGUCAGAGGUUGGUCACACCAAUCUAGAAUAUCUUCAAUUGGCUACAAGCCAGAUAAAACACGGAAAUAAAAUACGGUUUGUGUGUACUCAGAUACGCUCUACCGGCCAAGGACGAAGCUGUAUUAUAGUCACACUCUAUCUUGUAAAACUUGUCGAAUAAUAAGAAAGCUAGUAACGUUUUGCUAAAUUCGAUAAAACUGAAUUCAUAGAACUCAUUCCAAAAUAUUUGACUAACCUCAGAAUAAGUUAUUUUAAAGUUUAUAUCUCGUUUCUAUUGAUCCUCCAUUCAAACUAUCUUGUUUAAAAAUAUUAACAAAUGAAUUUUUAUAAUAAUAACAGCGAGAAUGUAUUGUAAAUGGCGAAUCAUC